AGAUGAAUGUAGCUGUGUGAUAAAUAGCUUGGGAAAUAACAGGAGGCUUCUGGAGCAUCUACAUCUUUAUGUAACACCAGGAUCAGGAUCAUUUAGGGCCUCCAAGUACAAGAAACAUAUCAAGGUGAUGGAGCAUGCCUCAAGAAGAUGUUGAAGGGAUCUAGAGCAAAAUCCAUGUGAGAGGCUGAGUGAACUGGAGUUUAUCUGGCAGAAGAGGCUGGGGGGAGACCACCUUGCUCUCAAGAGGCUGCAGCAAGGGGAACAGGAAGAAGGAGGCAUCACAGACAUGUGUUGUCAGGAAGAAUCUCCAGAGUUCAAGGCAUUUUGUUCAAUCCACUGCACACAGGAGCUGGAUCAUGGAGAACUGCCAUAUGCUUGUCUAAUCUGCUCUUAAAGCCAGUGAAGAAUGGUCCAUCACAUCCUCCAGAAGCCUGCUGAAGUGCCUCAUUACUCUCCAUUAAAACAUUUUUACUGCUCUAAA